AUCGAACGCUGGCGGCAGGCUUAACACAUGCAAGUCGAGCGGGCACUUCGGUGUCACCGGCAGACGGGUGGGUAACCGGUUGGAACGUGCCUUUUGGUUCGGAAUAACGCUGGGAAACUCGCGCUAAUACCGGAUCUGCUCCUUUGUGGGAAGGCCUGAUGCGGGAGGGUCGGCCUGCGUCCUCUUAGCUUGAUGGUGGGGUAAGGGGCUCCCAAUGGUAGGAGAAGUAGAUGGUCUGAGAGGAUGCUCAGCCACACUGGUACGAAGACACGGCCGGGAAUCCUGCGGGAGGCAGGAGUGGGGGAUAUUGGCAAAUGGGCGCAAGCCUGAUCCAGCCAUGCUGGGUGAGUGAUGAAGGCCUGAGGGUUGUAAAGCUCGUUUGUCCGGGACGAUAAUGACGGUACCGGAAGAAUAAGCCCCGGCUAACUUCGUG
rnacentral:rRNA from 1 species